rnacentral:lncRNA from 1 species
UGGAACUCAGAAAGACCAUCUGCACCAGCAGCAGCCUCCUCCUCAGCCUUCUCCUUUUCCUUCUCAACAUCAUACUUGGGCUUCCAGGUCUUCUCCAGAAUGGAGGUGGCAACCUUCUCAUCGUCAGCAAUCAAGAUAUUGUCAAACAGGAUGCCAUCCUGCAUUGUCCAGAUCUCAAUCCCAAUAGCAGCAAUUGGAUCAAAGUCAGGCUUGUCAAGCUCAAAGUACUCAGGGUUGGGGAUCUCCUGAGGCUUCCAGAUUCCCUUGUAGUUGGGGUUGUCAAUCAUAGGUGCAUGCCACUUGCCCUUGUAAGCAGGAUUCUGCUUCAUUGGCCUCUUCCACUCGCCACAUCCAGGUGCCUCUUCACACUUGGGGUUGUCAAUCUUUGGCGCCUCCCAUUCACCAUCCUCCUCAUCGUCCCAGUCCUCAGGCUUGGCUGCCUCAGGAUCAUCAAUCUCCUCAGGUUCAUCAUCCAACCAUCCCUCAGGCUUGGUGGCUUCAUCAUCCACAAUUUCCAUCGGGGCAUCCUCAUCCCAGUCAUCAGGCUUUACUGCAUCUGGAUCAGGAAUUUUAGCUCUCUCAUCCCAGUCCUCCGGCUUCUUGUCAUCAGGGUCAGGAAUGGUCUUGGAUGGGAUAAGUGCUGGCUCAAAAUCAUCAGCAGAAAGGAAGUUCGCCUUCUUCUUUUCUUCCCCAUCUACCAAAAUUUUGACCUCAUUGUCUGGCUUCAAGAUAGCCGUGUAGACAUGAGAGAGCUUGUCAUAUGGGACAGAUGGUGGGAAUUUGAGAUGAUGCUCAACAUACUUUCCAGUCUUAGGAUUCUUGUGCUUAAGGAUGAAAUGAACCUUGUUGGUUGAUCCACACUUAUCUGGACCAAACAUAAUAGUGUAUGGAGUCUCAUUAUCAAACUCCUUGGCAUCCCAUCCAGCAUCCUGAGGGCGGAUGUACUUAAUGUAGGCACCUCCGCAUUCAAGGCCAUUCUGAAGUCUCACUUCAAACUGCAGGACCACUGUCCCAUCCUUCAAGGUAACUGGCUCAUCAAGCUCCUUGAUUAUGGCGUAUUUCCUUGCCUUCUCACUAACAAGGAGGCCAUAGUCCUCAUGACCAUCACUCUUGGCAUGCCUCCACACACCUACAAAACAGAGUAUGUAGGCAUUAAGCUAUGAAACACACAAAAAAGAACAGAAAUUAUGACUACAAUGUUCAAACAGUGGCAGGCAACAAGCAGUUAAAAUAAGGAUUGCAAUACUGUUUAAAAUGGCAUUACAGAACCAGGAUACUACUCCCUUCAUCCACAUAUGCAAGCAACAUGUUGUUUCGGAAAGUGUAACUUUGCAAACUUUGACUAACAAUUAGUCAAAUUAAUUAUGGUGUGUUUGGUGCACAAAGGUUGCAUAGAUGCAUAUUCAAAUUAUAACAAAUGACACCAAUAUUCACAGAUAAAUAGCAUACCAGAUAACCAGAAAGAUCUAACAGGCACCUACUAAAACUUAGUACCGCAAGCUUACUUCAUAUGAAGAGUGUUUAAUGUGGGCACAGAAUUACAGGAAUAUAAAAAUACCACUAGCAAACUGAACAUACUGACAAUUUUAUUAUUUUUUGGAUGACGUAGUUCAUUAACACAUGCAUAUAGAUAAAAUUAUUAUUCAAAAUAUCUCCUGAUGUCUCAUCCUAUAAUCUAGUACAAGUUAAUCACUCCCUCCAGUUAGGAAUAGAUGAGGCUACUUUCGAUUAUCUGAGCAUCAGUACAUUUUGGCAGUUACAGAAACAUCAACCAUCCAUAUCAACAAUGAGCACACUGCACACACAGAGAAACCAGUCACUCCAAUGAUCCUCUGUUCGUUAGAGCUACAGACCAUUGUAACUUGUGUUGGCACACUCAAAAAGUUAUACUGUAAGCUGGAAGGCAAGAACACUCCUCGAUUGCAUAUAGUACGUUGGAAUGUGGAGACUAGCCAUAGCUCUGCAUCUAGAGCGGUGCUGCUAGCGAAGCACAUCCGGACAAACUAAAGCACAUACAUGAUUGACAACAUACAUGACUGACAGUAUCAAUCGUGGAUCUCAUGAGUAAUUGCACAGUUACCUCUCAGUUUAAACACGGGAAAGUGCGAUCUCGGACGAAGAAGCUCCCAUAACCCCACUAAACCCACGGAUCUAAACAGAUCUAGCGAAACCAUAACGAGCGAGAGAAAAAAAAUGCGCGCGCUUACCUUGGUAUUCAUCCUUCUUGGAGACGACCCAUCUCCCCUCAAAGUCCUCAUCGAACGGCUCGUACAGCAGCUGCAAACAACAACACCGAAACCCGGAGUGACCAUCACAAAUCUCACCCACAAAGUUCCGAGGGAAAAAAGAUAGCGAAAUCGCAACAGGCUGGCUUAGAUUACCGGGUCGGAGGCGUGGAUCUGAAAGACCAACGCCGAGACCAGGAGGAGGAGGAGGAGCGCGCGCCCUCCCAUCGUCCUCUCAAUGUCACGAUCUCCUCGAGCCGGGGAGUUUCUCCAAACCUUCCAACCAGAGCGAGGCCUCCGCGAGAGGGAGCAGACGCUGGCAGUAUAAGAAGUGGGCGCGGUGGAGAGGCUACACGGCUGAGAUCAGGAGAGAGGAAAAGGAACGGUGGGUAGCAGGGCCGGCAGUUGCGAGGAGAAGGCCUUGGUGUGACUUGUUCCGACCAAUGGGAGGGCGCGGGACGUGGUGCUGACCAAUUGCACGCUGCCACGUCUGACUCGUGACGCUUUGCUCUUGUAGGACGCCAUGUCAGCCGCCCCACGAACACGCACGACGGUGGUAUCCGGCCAGCCGGCAUCUCCAGUGAAUACAGAGGCCUUCUACUGACUUUAGAUAUUCUCGAUGACAAUUUUGUACCACUUUUUUCAACACUGACAUAUCAUCAAAAAUGCUAUAAAACUAUGAAUAAAAUAAUGUCUCUUAAUGUAAAAUUUCACUUCACUAUUUCAUACAUUAACAUGUCAAUUAAAUAUUGCAACUCAAUGACCAAUACAAAUUAGUAAAAUAUGUGAAGAGAAACAAAUCAUUUUCAAUGGAGGUCUCCAUGGUUUCUAAGACAUUGGAAAAAAAAGUUGAUGUGACACACUAUUAAAUGUGUGUGAAACCACUAUAAAAUCAUUAUUGUGAAUAGCCUUAGGGCACAUACAGCGCCGUUAAAUACGACGUCUCUAAAGUCACGUAAGCUACAAUUAAAUAAAAAAAAUUCGACGUGGAUGCUAAUUAAGGAGAAGAUAGGCAUAGAUCGUCCUUUAGUGAAGACACGGUUUCGGCCUAUGCUCCAAUACAAGAGACGGUAAGACAACCAAUGUAUGACUUCUUUGGUCCUUGUUCCACACAUGAUAGGUAACCUACUGUAUGACUUAUUAUUUAUAUUGUAUAUACCUGUUUGUAAUAUACAUAUAGACAACUAUUGUUUGUGGGUUGUACAUGCUCUUAUGGGGUGUUUGGUUUCACCUAAUGUCAUAUCAAAUGUUUAAAUGAUAACUACGGAUAGUAAAUAUAGUCUAAUUAUAAGAUUAAUUGUACAGAUAAAGACUAAAAGACAAAACGAAACUAUUGAACCUAAUUAUGUCUAUAUUUAAUAUUUAUAAUUGAUAUUUAGAUAAUUGAUAUGAUACAAACUAAAUUUUAGUCAGGGGAACUAAAAAUACCACGUAAAUUUUAUAAGUGGUAGAGUUUCAACAGUUCAACAAUUAUGGGUUGUUCCUCUCUUUCGUACGUCAUGCCCCUCAUGUGUAACAGUCUGUCAAGGUAAUAGACGACGACAGAGAGGCACCAAAGGGUAUUCGGGUGAAGAAGCAAAGCACCAGAGUAUUUGGGCUAGAUUGGACCCAGCAAUGGGGGUACACUGUUGGCGAGCGUAUGUAACUGAGGCCAUGUGGGAGUUGGAGACUUAGCUUGGGGAAGGAGUUGGCGCUGGUUGUGUCUAGACGGUGACGUCAUGUGUGAGUGAAUCCCUUCUGUUCGUCGAGAAUUCUAGUAAAACUCUAUAACUUCGUGAGAGAAGGAUAGUUUCAGGGGCGGGGCUCGCUAUCAUCACCAUCUAUCUCUCACAAUUGGUAUUAGAUUCUUGUUGCGAUCCUAGCGGAUCCAUCUGAGUAUACUCUUCGCCCUUAAAAUCAGGCAAGGGGGCAAAACAAAUCGACAACAUGGAGAAGAGUUUAGCCGAUCUCUCUCAGCUGCUGCAAUCUUUACAAGUCCAGAAUGAUUCCAUCAAGCAAGCCAUUGAGGUAAACAUAGCAUCUAAGCCCUAGACCGAGGACGAUGUGGGUCACCUGCAUGAAAAUGUGGGACACCUGUCGAACAAAGUGAAGAGGUGAUGGUCUGCGCCCACCACACAUUCAUGCAUCGAAGGUGUUCGAAGGUGUGCUAUUGAAGGAUCAAGCGACGCUGGAAGUCUCUACAUCGACAUCACGGCAUCAGUCUGUACCGGACCUCUACGAUCACCGCCCUGCUACAGCUUACCGGAGUGAUGGUUUUGGGGUUGUCACCACCCUAACACCAUCUCCGGUUGCAGGUAACAAAACCCUUUUGCAUCCGGAUUCCCCUUCAUCUACCUUACUUCCUCAUGUUGAACCCAUGUGGCCAUCUUAUUCGCCUCAUAUGAUGGCAGCCUUACCUCAAAUGAGUUUUCCUUAGUUCGAUGGUCACCAUACGAAGAUGUGGAUGGCAAAGUGCGAGUCCUACUUUGAUGUGUUUGUUGUCCCGGGUGAAUUAUGGGUCAAAGUAGCAAUCAUGCACUUCGUCGGUUCAGUCGUUUUUUGGUUAUAGUCUAUGGAAAAAAGCUUUGCGAAACACAGUGGACUUAGUUUUGCUCAGCGGUGUGUGCCCGCUUUGAGCGUGAUCAUCACAACCAUUUAGUUCAUCGGUUCUUUCACAUCAAGCAAGUUGACACUGUCACGGAAUAUAUGUUGAGCACUUCAAUACUCUGGUGCAUCAAAUUCUAGCUCAUGACCCUUCAUUUAACAUAUUUGCUAUUGUAAAUCGUUUUGUUGAUGGCUUGGAACCUGGCAUUAAGGUUGUAGUUUUUAUGCAGCGGCCAUGGACCUAGAUACUGUUGUUUCCUUGGCUUUGUUACAGGAGGUGCUCACUGGUCACAAGACCCACUCUAUGCCUUCUAAGGUAGCUGAACCAUCACUGUCCAGAACUGUGUCACAUCCGACACCAUUGUCUUCCUCUCAACCUGCUGCUACAACUUCAGAACUCCGGCGUGGUGUGGAUGGCACCAAAUCAAGCUUGAAGAAAACAAAAUUUCAGCGUUGAUGGCAUACCGUAAAGCUAAUGGGUUGUGCUUGUGCUACAAGUGUGGUCUUAGAUGGGGCCAAACUCACAAGUGCAACGCAAUAGUUCCCUUGAAAUUGGUGGAAGAAGUCUAGCAAAUCUUGGAGACCUCUGUACCUCCAAAAUAGAAGUCUAUGCCUUAGGAGGAUUCUGGUGAUAAUCUGAUGUUUUUGUCCAUCAAUGCAGUCCAAGGAACAUAGUCUCCUCAGACUCACUACCGGAAACGGGCGCUUUGCCGAGUGCCCGAAGCACUCGGCAAAGCCUUAAAAACACUCGGCAAAGGCUUUGCCGAGUGUGACACUCGGCAAAGAAGGCUCGGCAAACAGUGCAUCAGCAAAGCCUUUUUUGCCGAGUACUUUUUCUCGGGCACUCGGCAAAGAAAAGCGGCCGUUACGGUGACGGGUGACAGAGACGGUGUCUUUGCCGAGUGUCACGGAUGACACUCGGCAAAGGAGUUACCUUUGCCGAGUGUCUUCCCAGAAGCACUCGACAAAGAAUACAUCUUUGUCGAGUGCCCUCUGGGGCACUCGGCAAAGAGCCCGCCAGGGAGGGUCCCCAUGUCAGGCUCUUUGUCGAGUGCUCUGUGCGGCACUCGGCAAAGCCUGCCUCUUUGCCGAGUGCCAGCGACAUAACACUCGGCAAAGUCCCUAAACCGGUGCCCAGGUUUUUGCUCUUUGCCGAGUGUUAUGACCCUGACACUCGGCAAAGCGCCUCUUUGCCGAGUGUUACACUCGGCAAAGUGACCAGUAUAUACGUUUCUUAUUUGUUUUUUGUAUUCCAUCCACACAAACAAAAGAUAUCACAUAUAUACAUCACAGAGAUCAUCACAAACAUAAAUAGCCAAUACAAACAUAAAACCGUCACCACAAAUAUAAAUAUCCAUCACAAACAUAAGUGUUCAACACAAGUAUCAAACACAAACAUAAGUCUCAAACGUCGCAAGCUCUCACAUAAGUAUCAAAUACAGACAUAAGUAUUAUACACAAGUUCUGAAGUCUAAAACAAUGAAAACACAACACUCAUGGAGGUGGGCGGUUUGACCGGGGCUGAACCCUUCCGGAGGGUUGUUGGAUGCCGCCCCAGAUUGGCCCUGCACAGAGAAGAGAUUGCAUGUGUUAUACCAGAUGCAUUACAAAUAUCUAACUACAAUUUUGAUACUCACAGGAGUGUGGAAGAGAGCAGGGUCAACUGGAGGGAACAAUGGAGGUGGCGGAGCGAUGCCCUGUACGGCGCCAAGGCUCUGCAUGUACUGGAACAUCUCCGCCAUCCUCCGAUGAUCUGCCCGGCGCUCCGCCUCCCGCUCCGCCAUCAUCCUCGCCUCCAUCUCGUGACGUUCCCUCCUCUCUUCUUCUAGUUGAGUAUGUAAUAUUACAAGCCAACGUUAUAGUAACUCAAAGAGUAGGUAUAUAACUCAAGGAAGGACGAGUUACAGAAGCACUAACCUCGAGUUGCUGUAUGCGAUGCUGUGAGCUGUCGUGCCGAGGUCGUAUGGCUGGACUCGAGCCCGUGCUCCUUGCUCUCACCUGAGACAGAGUGGGAGUGGAGGACGAGUCGAUUGCCCCGUCGACAAUCCAGUACCGCUCAUGUCUCUUGCCUCCUCCGACCCUCAUGAGCUCAUCGGGGUCGAUCGGCUCGGUGCUCGGAUCAUAGUCUGGGCCAUGGACCUCCUGCGCCAUGGCGGUGUAGUCAUGGAGGCGGCUGUAGACGGCGGGGUUGGUGUAGGCCUCGGGCCCGUCAUCCGGGUUGUAGGUGACGUCGGACGUCGCCUUACCCUUAUGGGCCAUAGCAUAGGCCGAGAAGGUGGAGCAAGGUCGACCACCAUGUGACGCCGACUGCAACGAAAACCAACGAGAUAGUUAGAAAUAAUAUCUAACUCAGUGUUAUAUAUCUAAAUAAAAAAGAUGGCGUACCCAUGCUUCGGCAUAUUGGCCUAGACUCCGGCUGCCUUGGUGGUGGGAGGGGCCUUGCAUCAUCAAACGCCGUUCCCGGCUAGCGGUGUGCGCCUCGUCCCACUCAGCCGAACACCACCUAUCCACCAUCUGCUCCCAGCACAGAGGAUGUGCGGCGCACCAAUAUGGAAUCAUCUACAAAGUAAACACGUAAAGUGCAUAUCAGAAGAUAAAAUAAAAUUCAUGCAUGGAUUACUGGUACCAAACAUGCAUGACUUUACCUGCAGGUACUGCUCCCUGGUCAACGACAUGGUUCGGGCUUGAGGUUUGGUCACCCUCUCCCCAAGGACGGAGCCGUGGUAGGUGAUGAUGGCCUGGAUUCAGGCCUCAUAGUGCAUGUCCACGACGAGCUUCUUACAACUCGUGGUGGCCACCACAUCCGCUCUAGCCUCAUAUCCAGCAUCGCAUCUGAAGAAAUCCUGUAUACAAAAACGAUGUAUCCAUACAUUAUUUCAAGAAUUUGCAACGAAUGCGACAUAUUUUACAUUAUACUAAGACUUACCCACAGCUCUUGCUUCACCCGCUCCGCCUUGUUAUUGAAUUCCCGGUCGUCCCGGUCUACUGCAUCGGGGGCGACGACGUAGUGGUCGAAGGUGAAGGCUGGACCCGUCACUCCGGCGUACUCCACAAGUCCACGGAUGUGUUCCCUGCACAGCAGGCCGAGGAUGCCAUUGGGGGGGCGACGAUGACCCCCAACAUAAUCCAAAACCGUCAAAAACUUGUCCAAGUGAUAAAUAAAAAGUAUUAGUUUAUAUUAUGAUUUUGAACAAAUAAUAUGAACAAGAAUGAAGAACAUAAAGUUACAUACCUCUCCCCUUCCGGCUGAAUCAGCGGCCGCCUGUCCCGAAGUAUGGGACGCUGAGGGAGACUCGCGGGGCCUCGCAGGUAGAUGCUCCUCGAACUUGAGCCGCCUGAACCUGAGGCGUCAUGCUGCUGGUCGUCGUCGUCCUGAGGCGCCGCCUGCUGCUGCGCUGCCUGCUCUGCCUCGUCCUGCCGCGCUGCCUGCUCUGCCUCGUUCGCCGUCCUACUCCUCCUCCCCCUCCUCCUCCUCAGCCAACCGCCCACCAUAUUUGUCCAACAACCUGCAAUUAAGAGUAAACAAAUAAGCACAUAUAAAAAGAUGUAUUUAAAAAUAGGUGUGAAAUAAAAAGUCAUAUAGCAUUACAUCGAUUAAAAAUAAUCUUCAUAUGUGUCGGGGUUAGUCGGAUCAUAACUCUCAUCAUCACUAUCAAGCAUUUCAAUCUCAACACCAUCGGAAGACGCAAGUUCGUCAUUAAUGUCAUUGCCUUCAAGGAUUACUAAGUCAUUAUCAUUUUACAAAUCAUCAUCCUCCUCAUCAACAACCAUUUCAAUAUCUACGUCCAUUCCGAUAGCUUCAGUUAAGUCUAUCUCAAAUCGCCCUUCUAGCCCAUCUUCUUGGAAGAACUCUCCAUCAUAUGUAUCCGGGUCUAAGUUGUAAUCUUCAUCAUUAGGAACAGGUAACCGCCCGUGCGGCGAUACCUUAUACACAACAUCCCAACCCUUAAGAUGUUCUUUCGUUUGACACACAUAUGGGAGAUAAUACACUUGUGUGGCCUAUUGGGCCACGAUAUAGACAUCGUCUCCUGCUAAGGUGGAAUCUUGUCGAAUUUCAACUAUUCCAAGAUUAGAAUGUGUCCGUCUCGUCACUUGAGGGUCAAACCAAUGACAUUUGAAUAUCACUGGAGUAAGAGGUUUGGAACCAUAAAAAUUGAGCUCAUAUAUUUCUUCGAUUCGUCCAAAAUAAUCGACAUUGUCAAGGCCGUGCGUAAAGACUCCAGAACACGUUGUUUUACGAUUGGGCCGACUUUUGUCGUAGUUUGUUGUGCGAAAACGGUAUCCAUUGACGUCAUACCUAGAAUAUUUCUUGACCCUAUAAGCAAAGUCGUUGGCUACUUGUCUCAACUCGGCACUCAUAGACGGAUCUCUUUGGCCCUGCAAGUAUUCGCAUGUUAAAAGACGCUAAAUUGAGUUCAAAGACGUAUCUCUUUUACAAACUAAGCACGUACCUUACGUUUGAACCAGGAAAUGAAAUCGGGCAACCCAUUUCUCACACCCUUUCUAAGAAGAGCGUCAUAUUCCUAUGGAGUGGGGUCCCUUGAUCGACGCCAGAAUUCGUGAAGAAAUUAUUCCAUGUAUGGCGUCACCUCUUCAAGGUUGGUCAAUACGUAUAGCAUGAUAUGCCGCCACUCUUCAUGUGUCAGGGUCUUGGUGGUCGAGCCACUUGUGCUUCCGAGUUGGCCUUGAAAUAUGCUAAGGUUCGAUUCAUUGUUGCCAUCAUUGUAACGAGGGGGUGGAUUAUGCACGCUCGGCAGUUUGUCACCAUAAUAAGUUAUUGUGAAGUUUGAGACCUCCUCUAGAAUGUAUGCCUCUGCAAUGGAAGCCUCGAUUUUGCAUUUAUUUCUACAUUUCUUUCGAAUAGUCUUUAGACAUCUCUCAAUUGGAUAGCACCAACGUCCCUGCACGGGCCCCCCCAUUCGUGCCUCAUAGGGGAGAUGAAGAAUCAAAUGCUGCAUUGGAUUGAAGAAGCCGGGUGGAAAUAUCUUCUCAAGCUUACACAGUAACACGGGUGCCAAUCUUUCCAAGUCUACAACCACGGUCCGAGAUAACUCUUUUGCACAAAGCUGACGGAAGAAAUAGCUCAACUCUGAAAGCGCUAGCCAGACAUGCUCAUGGACAUAGCCUCAAACCAUCACAGGAAGAAUCCGUUCAAUCCAUAUGUGGAAGUCAUGACUCUUCAUCCCUAAGACUCGCAUAGUAGAUAAGUUCACCCCCUACUCAGGUUAGCUGCAUACCCAUCAGGGAACAUCAACAUCUUGAUCCACUGAAGUACUUCCUUCCUCUGGGCCCUGCUUAGGACGAAAUCGGCCUUAGGCCUUCUCCACGUCUUUCCGCCACUUGGCGGCUUCAUCUCUAGUUUUGGUCUAUCACAUAACGCUGCCAGAUCCACUCUUGCCUUCACAUUAUCCUUUGACUUAUCAGGAAUGUCCAUAAUUGUUGCCCACAGUGCCUCGGCAACAUUCUUUUCAGUGUGCAUUACGUCAAUGUUGUGUGGAAGGAGCAGGUCGUCAUAAUAGGGGAGCCGAGUCAAGCCAGACUUAUGUGUCCACAUAUGCUGCUCACCAUAUCCCACAAAACCACCUUCUGUAUUGGCCACGAGCCCAUCUAUCUGUUGACAAAUUUCGGCACCAGUCAUCGUUGCAGGUGGGCGGUCUGUCACUACGACACUUUUCAUAAAGUUCUUGAUGUCUAGGUGGAAUGGAUGGUCAGCAGGAAGAAAUUGUCGAUGUUUAUCGAAGGAUGAAUAUUUGCCACCCUUUUUCAACCAAAUGAACCUGAGAGCUUCCUUGCAAACUGGGCAUGAGAACUUACCGUGAACACACCAGGCACAGAAUAGCCCAUAGGCCGGUAAGUCAUGCAUGGAGUACUGGUACCAAACAUGCAUUCUGAAGUUUGUCUUCGUAGCUCGGUCAUACGUCCAUACCCCUUCCUCCCAGGCACGUACCAAUUCAUCGAUCAAAGGCUCCAUGUACACGCCCAUUUUAUUUCUCGGGUGUCCGGGAAUUAUCAACGACACAAAUAUAUUCUGCCUUUGAAAGCACACACCAGGGGGAGAUUGAUUGGGAUAACAAACACGGGCCAACAUGUGUACGGGGCAGCGCUCAUUCCAUAGGGAUUGAACCCAUCUGUGGCCAACGCAACACGUACAUGAUGAGCCUCUUUGGCUUUCUCACGGUGAAUGGCAUCAAAGUGUUUCCAUGCUUCACCAUCGGAUGCGUGCACCAUCUUGUCAGGAUUGUAUCGUUUUCCAUUUUUGUGCCAUGUCAUCUGUUUCGCGGAUUCCUCUGUCAUGUACAGACGCUGGAUCCUCGGUAUGAACGGAAAGUGUCGUAGGAUUGUCAAGGGGAUGUCGAGCUGCCUCUUCUGUCCAUCACCAGAGUCUACCUCCAUGAACCUAGACGAUGUACACUUGGGACAGUACUUUGCCUCCGUGUAUUCUUUCAUAAAUAGCACGCAACCCUUCGGACAAGCAUGAAUCUGCUCAUACGUCAUCUUGAGUGCACGAAGGAGUUUCUGUGCCUCGUACAUUCUCUCUGGCAGAACGUGAUCAUCCGGAAGCAGGCUCCCAAUAACCGUCAACAAGCCAUCGAAUGCGUCUCUACUCAUGUUGUACUGCGACUUGAACGCCAUUACAUGCCCAAUGGCAUCUAGUUGAGAAACCUUUGUCUGGCCGUGAAGGGGCUUCUGUGCCGCGUCGAACAUGUCGUAGAACGCCUUUGCAGUCGGCUCUUGCUUGUCAUCCAUACAUCCUCCCGUGUACUGUGCCUCCUGAUAGUCGUUCAACAUAUCUGCUACCCCCGCAUCCGCGUCAUAAUCCUCGACACAUUGUCUCAGCACCUCCUCUCUCGUACGAUGCGCUUCACCAUGAAAUAUCCACCGAGUAUAGCCCGGCGUAAAUCCAUUCUUCCAAAUAUGUUCUACCAUGACCUUCUUUGGUUUUCUUUUCCGGUUGGCACAUUUGCUGCACGGGCAUGGGACUAGACUCGCUCCUUUAGCAGCUUCGCCAUAUGCCCGUUCCACGAAAUCAUCGGUCUUUCUAAUCCAUUCAGUGGUGACAUCGUUCCUUCCUCUACGGCCCGUGUACAUCCACUCACGGUUCUCCAUCCUCUAACAGAAGCCUAGCAAUAGAAAAUUUCGGCAGCACCUCCCCUGCACGGGGAGGUUUCGAAAUCCUGCAAAUAAAAGUAUCAGCACGAUGGCUGUCUUCCACUAAUAAUUCAACGACACAAUGGCCAGCAAUCACACACACACACACACACACACACAUAUAUAUAUAUAUAUAUAUAUAUAUAUAUAUAUAUAUAUAUAUAUAUAUAUAUAUAUAUAUAUAUAUAUAUAUAUUCAAUUCAACGGCACGACGACGAGGAAUUGUAGACGUUGGCGUGGUGAGGGUCGGUGCGGUGGUGGAUAGGAUGGGGAGUGUGUUGUGCGAGUAGCGUGGUGAGGGUCGGUGACGGCGUGGUGGAUAGGAUGGGAUAGUGUGUUGUGGGAGUGUGUUGUGUGAGGGUCGGUGCGAGUGGCGGCGUGCGGUGGUGGAUUGGAUGGGAGACAUAUACUGAGUGAUCAACACAUUAAUAUAAACAUGUGUUUAUGAAAUACAUAAUCUAUGAAACAUCAAUACAUUAAUCUAUAAAACAUCAAUAUAUUAAUAUAAACAUUAAUACAUAAUUUAAUAAAAAUAUACCUUGAGACAGUGGUGGGCGGAGGAGACGGUGGCGCGGGGAGGAGACGGUGGCCCGGGGAGGCUGCGGCUCAGGGAGGGCGGCAGGACGGCGGUGGGGCCGCGCGGCGAGCCGGCGGCGCGCAGCGGGCGCGGGCAGGCGCGGCGGGGCGGCGGAGGCGCAGGGAGGAGGCGGCGCGGCGGCUAAGACAAAGAGAGUGAGAGGAGAGAAAGAAGAAGAAAGAAGGCCAGACGCGAAGUUUAUUUUCCUUCUUUGCCGAGUGCCCGCGAUCUGGCACUCGGCAAAGAUUUUUUUAUUUUUAAAAUAAGCUUUGCCGAGUGCCAGAUCGGCGACACUCGACAAAGGCUCCUUAGCCGAGUGUCGACCAGGUGACACUCGACAAAGAUUAAUUUACACUUCUUUGCCGAGUGCCACCCAGGGGGCACUCGGUAAAGCAUACUUUGCCGAGUGUCACGAGUUGACACUCGGCAAAGUACAUUUGCAUUUUUUUUGUUUUGGCCACCAAACUUUUUGUGGUUUGUUCCUACACUAUGUAGACCUACAUGUACCAUUUGGGGACAAUUAUAACUGUGUUUGCAAUAUCUAGUAGAUUUAGUUCGUUUAUUUGAAUUUCUUCGGAAAAUUCAGAUUUGAACUGCAAAUCACUCGAAACUUGGAAAACCGUGCAUGCAAAAAUGAUAUUCAUGUUACUUAGCAUAAGUUACGACCGAUUCCAGGAGCGUACCGGAAACUUCGAGCAACAUGCUCACUAAACAUGGCCGUGAACUUGCCAUCCACAUGUUUAAAAAUUGUAUAAAACACAAACAAAGUUAGAAAAUCAUGAAACUUGUCCACGUGUCAUGAUAUCAUAUGUACAGGCUGUGAUAAAAAUUUUAGAAUGUUUGGAGAAAGUUGUGAGACACAAUGUGUAGAAACCUAAGAGAACUACACAUGAAAUCAUAGAGUUUCAAUGUGGAUCUCUUAGGUUGUACACAUAGCGCGUCACAGUUUUCUCGAAAAUUUUUCAAUUUUUUAUCACAGCCUGUACAUAUGAUAUCAUGACACGUGGACAAGUUUCAUGAUUUUCUAACUUUGUUUGUGUUUUAUACAAUUUUUAAACAUGUGGAUGGCAAGUUCACGACCAUGUUUAGUGAGCAUGUUGCUCGAAGUUUCCGGUACGCUCCUGGAAUCGGUCGUUACUUAUGGUAAGUAACAUGAAUAUCAUUUUUGCAUGCACGGUUUUCCAAGUUUCGAGUGACCUGCAGUUCAAAUCUGAAUUUUCCGAAGAAAUUCAAAUAAACGAACUAAAUCUACUAACGAUUGAAAACUCUGUUAUAAUUGUCCACAAAUGAUACAUGUAGGUCUACAUAGUGUAGGAACAUACCACAAAAAGUUUGGGAGACAAAAUCAAAAAAAUAAAAAUAUACUUUGCCGAGUGUCUAGAGAAGACACUCGGCAAAGAGUCCUUUGCCGAGUGCCCACUAGUUGGCACUCGGCAAAGAAGACUCUUUGCCGAGUGCCAACCCUCGGCUCUCGGCAAAGACUGACGACCGUCAGCUUUGGGACGGCCGCUGACGGCCCUUUGCCGAGUGUUUCACACUCGACAAACGUGUCUUUGCCGAGUGGGGUCCUGUGCCGAGUGUCCAGCACUCGGUAAAGAGGCUCAUUGCCGAGAGCCUAACUUUACCGAGUGCGGCUCUCGGCAAAGCCUUCUUUGCCGAGUGCCCGACAAAAGGCACUCGGCAAAGAGGCUGACACUCGGCAAAGCCUCGGAUUCCGGUAGUGACUAUCAAACUUUUGGCAACCUUGUUCACUCAAACUGUUAUUAUGUUGGUGGAUUCUAGCAGUUCGUCCUCCUUUAUCAUUCAGCCCUCACUGCUUUGAGUUCAAAUGUGGUACCUCUACCUCAACCUGUCUUGGUGCGAGUGGCUAAUGGUCAACUUAUUUCUUGCACUUCUUAUUUACCUCAAUGCAAGGUGCUUUGCAAGGCCAUACAUUCUACACCAAUCUCAAAAUAUUACCCCCUGCAGUGCUACGACGUUAUCUUGGACAUGGAUUGGUUGUCCUCUCAUAGCCCUAUGCAAGUGCACUAGCAAGAUAAGUGGCUCACCUUCUUUCAGGAUCAAAACAAAUUGACUCUACAAGGUUAGCUUUCGGAUUGUUGCAACCUAGAACCAAUUUCUGCUUCUCAACUAAACCAUUUAGCUCAGCGUGAUGAGUUAUGGUGUACCAUGGAACUGAACAAGCUUCUAACUUGCAACUCUCGACAACAUUACCAGUGGAAAUUCAGCAACUUAUCUAGGGAUUUGCAUCUCUUUUUGACAAACCAUACGUGCUACCACCACCUCGGUCUGACGUUUAUAGCAUUCCCGUCAUCCCUGGAGCUUCCUCUUUUAUGGUGUGUUUGGUUGAGGAGCGGAGAGGAAUGAAACGACUCCAUUCUUAUUUUUUUGAUGUUUGUGUAGCAGAACCGGCCGAAUUAUUCCAGCUUAAGUGCAUAAAUCACGUCUCAGGGGCAGCAACACACUUAAAUCGGAAUAACCCGUCAGUCCCUCAGAUCUAGUCUGAUAAAGCCACUUAACUAGGAUCAAAUACCACAAACUCACUCGAAGGUGAGUCACAGAAGAAAUACAAUAAAACAGGAAAAACCUCAAAUUAAAGUACUAGAGUUAUUAUAUAAAUCGGAGUUUUUCAAGUAGCUGAUAUAAGUUCACAAAAUAAAAUGCAGCGGAUAAUCGAUAUCGUCGAUAACGAGGAUUUGGGCAAGGCCUAGCCCACUACUCCUCCUGCUCCUCUCCUGCCGGAGCAGCAACCCACUCGACCGUCCAACCCGGUGGCAGGGUGGUAGGCCAAGUCACACCAUCAACCAUAUCCUGGAACGUACCUGCAAAAAUUAUGCCACAAUCAAGGCUGAGUAUACUAAUACUCAGCUAGAUAACCCGGUGCGAGGAGUUUACUCCUCUACCUCUAGACCAUGCAGCUGCUUGGCUGAGGGGUUUGGUUUGCCAAAAGCACUAGCUGUAUCUAAAAUCAAAUCUUAGCUUUUCAAUUUUCUAGCAUCAUUAUCUUAACUAAGUUUGCUCCUUCUAAGCAUACAUGGUAGCAAGCAUUUAGUACAAUCAACAAGUUAUCUCAAGUAAACCUCAUUUCACUUCUUACUCAAUGUAGUACAAGGGGUCAAGCAGUCUCAUUAGCUACGAGAAGCAGACGAUUCGAAUCGAGUUUUAUCCUUGCAAGGUAAACCUAAACACACGAUAUGUCAGGGCACUCUGUCCCCACACACGUCAACCGUCCCAUCGAUUCCCCGUUCGCGGCUAGGCCUCACCGCCUUGGCAUACAAUGCUCCACUGACCCCGGCUGCCGCCGUGCAGUGACCGCACUUGUACCCACCAUAGCUAGCAUGGGAGACCUAGUCUCAGGUCGCGUGAGGGGUAAAGUCCGCGCCCGGCUUCACUCAGGUACUAGGUUUACCGGUUACCAUAUUUCCCGACAUGUGUUUUGUACGUUCAAAAGCUUGACUCAGGUAUCCACACAUUAAUCCUUAAUUCCUUUUCCCGUCUUAUGGACAAGGCAUCCUCCCUGGAUCCAAGUCCAUAGAACAACAUAGAUCCCGUUAUCAAGAUGAAUACAAUCAAUUCCUGACCUCGCGCGAGUGCUAGAAAAAUCACUCGACUUCUACCGAUAUCCUGAAGCAGCUACUCGACCUAGCAUACUAGUAUCCAUCUUAAAAAGGAAUCCUAAGUUCAUACAACUAGAGGUUUCAAGCAACUCCUACACUUAAGUGCACAGUACAAUCCUACAAUCAUUAAGUAUAGUAAAGUAGCAUAUAUAGAUACGGUUAUGCAUAAAACCGGGGCUUGCCUUCAAUAGCUGGGGCUGCGGGGAGAUUCUUGAUGACAGUCUCGGGAGCUUGCUCCUGGUCUUCCUCGUGGACAUCUCCUUGCUCAGGGAUGAGCACGUACUCUCCGUCAGCGAGAUUGCAAUCUAAUGAAUGCAAUGAGUAAGAUAUAUGCAUGGUAUGACAUGUAAUUACAAUUAAGAUUUGAUGGGGGGAACAUGAUCAAUUUAAUAAGGUAGGGCUUAUUCUCUCUACUGAAGAUUUUGGGGUACACUUAGCAAAUUAGGGUCAAGCUUAGUAAGCUAAUUGGUAAGUCUAUUUUGGUGUUCCACUGAUUUCUUUUUGAUGUCUUAGUGAGAGUUUAUUAAUAUUUCUAGCUGAACUUAUUGGAGUGAGGUUUAUUUUUCCCUCUCUUCCUUACUAAUUCUUUUUAUGCUUUUAAGGUGGGUUUGAAUUACAAGACAGCUUAAUAAAUUUUCAAAAAUUCUGCAAAAAUUACAGUGGCUUCUUACUGGUGUAUAGUUCUCUGUCUCAAAAUUUGGGGCUUAAACAGUGAGGGGUUCUCUCUGUAUAAAAUUAUCAAAUGUUAGGGCAGAGGGGGUGUUUUGAACUACAACUCCUUUUUAAUAAUGGGUUAUUCUCUAAGACAUAUUUUUGCUGGCAUUUAGAUGUUAUAACAUGACUUUGGACAAAUUUCUAGCCACUAAUACUUAUUAGUUAUUUUGCUAUAAUUUUCUAAAGUUUCUAGCAAAAUGGGUGCUUUCUACUACCACUAUACUUGAAAAAUAUCAAACAACAGAUUUCUAUAUUUUUCUAUCUUCUUCUUUGUGCAAGAACAAUCAUUCUGAAAUUUGACAACUUUUUGCUUAAGGGAAGGGUGGUAGGAAUUAUUUGAAUUAAAUUGCCUUUUUCAUGAAGUAUUGUCAAUGGGUAUUAUUUUGCAGCUUUCAAUUUGGUUUUGCAUUUUUCUCUGGUAGACUACUUCAUUAUUAAUUUGGUAAAAAAUUAUUUGCCCAUUAUUGCACUCUUUUUAGUUUGCUCAUGAUUUAAUUGAAAUAUGGCUCAAUAUCAAGUUCUAUUUGUUUACCCUACUUAAAAUGAUGGGCUGGGUUGUUUAUCAUUUUUGUAGUGGUAUCUUAGUGGUUACAAGUCCACUGAAUUUUUCUUAUCAAUUUUGAAAUUGUUUUCAUAAUUCUAAUAAUUGUUUUUCUAGUUUGGUUAGUGCUUAAUAAAACAUUUCACUUUGAAUUUGUUCUGCACUAGGGUUCCCUUUAUUUUUCCUAGGUUCUCCAUUACUUAAGUGGACUAGGAAAAAUAUAUGCAUCCACUGUUCAUUAUUUUCCAGUGCCUUUCUUAUUUUCCUAAGUUUUGGGCAAAUAUGGCUUUUAAUAAGUAACCUUGUCUAAAUCUUUAAUACUGGGGUGCUUACUAUUUUUAAACAGUGCAUAAGUGGGUUUUACACUUCUGCAAAUUUUCUUAGGUUCAGCACAGAAGCAUAACUAAUUUUCUUAUUUUAGUAAGUUUUGGUCAUUUUCCUUAAUUAAUUUCCAACUCUAAAAUUUAAGACAGAAAGCAUAGGGUUCUUUAUUUUUAUGUGAUAGUCCAUAAUAUUUUGAAUCCAACAAAAUUGGUUUGACUAAAUUUGGUUGAAUAUAACUCGAGAUAUGAAUUUUCUAAGUUCUCUGCUGAAAUUAAAAAGAUUAUUUAGGAAUGGUUAAAAGAAAAAUGGUUUUGCACUGGGGUCCUUGGCGAAAGGUUUUAAACGUAUUACAGAUAGGUCUUUGGUUCACUAUUCAUCUGAGUCUAUGACUCUGCAGAAAACCCCCUAGGGUUUCCCGAAAUCGAACCCGCGAUCCUUCCCCUAAUGGAACAGUGACCGCGGCGGAAGAAGAGGGCGGAGGGGCUUACCGGCGACGGGGUUGCUCCGAUGAGGGGUUGGGUGAGGUCCGGGAGUCUCUGGCGAUCACGUCGAGGUGUGGAUCGCCGGCGAUGGUGGUUGGAGGAGGUCGGUCCACGCGCGCAGGCAUGGGAGCUCGUUGGCAGCGAGGAGUCCGGCCUAACCAGGGCGCGAUAGAUCAAUUAAAUGGGUCAGGGAGCUUCAUCAGAGAUCAAGGAAGAUGUGAGCGCAAGGAAUUUGAGAAUGGCUCACCUGAUUGCUCGGUCUACGCGCGGCCGCGAGCGACCGAAGUUCGGCGAAGAUGAUCUCGGGUCUUCGGUGAGGUUCUGUCUGGUCCAAGAGCUUGGAAAGCUCCACGGGCCACUGGCGAAGCUAACAGAGGGCAGGCGCAACUUGGACGUGGCUGGAGUGAGCUGGCCGCAGUGGCCGAGGCUCGGGCGGUGAUGGCGAGCGGAGGAAAGCUCGCUGGAGCUAAGGAGGGGUGUCUAGCCAGCGAGGGUGAGCACAGGGUGAGGUGAGGCGCGCCCGGGGGUGGUUUUAAAGGCGCGGGCGAGCACGACCGAGAGGAGGCUCUGACAAGCACUCGGGGCGUGCGCGGGCGGGCGCCAGUGCGCGCUUUGGCGUCUGGCACAGCGUCGAGCACGAGGCAGCAUAGAGAGAGGUCGUGUUCAAGCGCGGAUUGGCUCAAAAUCUUUGAGAUUAUGGCCAUGAUCCCGUUGAGAGAUCUCUUCCCCUGACAUUCCUUUGUCGUUUAUGUGUGGAGGCUUGCAGGUUUUGCUGACUGGAUCAAGAGAUAUGGAGGGGUGAAGUUAGGUUUGUCUCACUGCCGAGCACAGAGAGAAGAUCCCGAGUUUGACGUGUCCAAAGCACGCGUCCCGAUGCCAUCUUCUGGUAUGAGGUAGAGGGGUUAGUUAGACACAUUUUUGUCAAUGGGAGCUUAGAUUUUUCAAAUAGAGAUCAAGGUGAACGCGCUCGGUUUUGGUUCAAAGGCUGAAAAUUCAUAAAUCUGAAUUUCAGAUUUCCCCCUUAAACCUCCACUUGAAAGGCUUGUUUGGAGUUUUUAACAAACUAUUUUGGCCAAACUUUUAUAAUCUUUAUUGUAGCUUAGUUAGUGUAUUUCAAUUUUUAUAAUUGGCCUAAGUCAUGAUUUCAAGGUUUUCAUGGUCUUUCAUCCCUUUUCUUCUUUUCUACUUAAAUAGAUUAAUUAGGGUUGGUAUUAGGGUUUCAACAUUUUCCCCUUUUUGAAAACCUCAUUUGUUUUUAGACAUGAUUCUUUAGAUAUAAACUUAGUGGAUCUUUUAAUUUUAACUUGAUUUGGUUGCUUCAUGCUCAAUUUGGCUUACAUGAAAUGAUGAUUCUUGAGUUAGCACUGAGAAAAGCCCUAGGUGACACUAGGGUGUCACAGCCUUCCCCCCUUAAAGGAAUCUCGUCCCGAGAUUCGGGUCGGAGUCCUCCCGGGGUGAAGCGAAGGGUGAGACUUACUUGAAGUGGGUGCUUUAUUUAUUAAGGCAACUGCUCUUCGAAUGUCAUUCUCUUUGCAACUUCAGAAGGAAGUCCUUUUUAUUCUUAUCUUACAGUUAACUCUUUUUAUAUUAAGAUCAUUUUUCUGAAAUUUAGAUUCAAAGGGCAGGAGGAGGGGUUGGGCAUGAUUACGUACCAAUUUCCGUAGGUAGAUAAUCGGGAAAGUUGGAACGCAGGAAUUCCCUAGUCUCCCAAGUAGCCUCUUCCUUUGAGUGAUUACUCUAUUGGAUCUUAUACAUUUUGAUCGAUUUAGCCCGAGUUGAUCUUUCUUUGCAAUCCAGAACCUUGGAAGGGUACUCUUGGUACGAUAGAUCUGGCUCUAUCUCCAAUUCUUGUUGUGCUAUGAUCUCAGUCGGCAAUCGAACACACUUCUUCAGUUGGGAUACAUGGAAAACAUUGUGGAUGGCAGACAUUUUUGGAGGUAACUUCAAUUUGUAUGCCACGGGUCCACAUGCUUCUAUGAUCUCAUAAGGUCCAAUGUAACGAGGGGCUAACUUGCCUUUGAUCCCGAAUCUCUGCACUCCCUUGGUGGGUGAUACCUUCAAAUAUACGAAAUCUCCCACCUCGAAUUGGAGAGGUUUCCUUCUCUUAUCAUGGUAACUCUUCUGCCUGGCCUGAGCAGCUUCUAGAUUCUUCCUGAUUAGUUUGACCUUCCUUUCAGCUUCAGUCACUAAGUCAAGUCCGAAAACUUCUCUUUCUACAGGCUGAGACCAAUUGAGGGGUGUUCUACACCUUCUCCCAUAGAGAGCUUCAAAGGGUGCCAUCUUUAGGCUGGAUUGAUAAUUGUUGUUAUAAGCAAAUUCUGCCAAGGAGAGGUGCUUAUCCCAGUUCUUGCCACAAUCGAUCGCAUAAGCUCUCAGCAUAUCUUCAAGAAUUUGAUUUACCCUCUCGGUCUGACCAUCAGUCUGUGGGUGGUAAGCUGAACUUCUGAUUAGCUUGGUUCCCAAAGACUCUUGCAGUUGUUCCCAAAAUCUGGCAACAAAUUGGGCUCCUCGGUCAGAAACAAUGGUCCGGGGCAAUCCGUGCAAACACACGAUUCGGUCAAUGUACAACUCUGCAUACUUUUGAGCCAUAUCAGUGGUGUGCACUGGGAGAAAAUGUGCCACUUUCGUCAGUCGGUCCACAAUGACCCAAAUCGAAUCAUGAUGACGAGAGGUGUUGGGCAGACCCAUAAUUGAAUCCAUGCUGAUGUCAUCCCAUUUCCACGAAGGUAUAGAUAGGGGUUGCAAGGCUCCAGCUGAUUUCAAGUGGCUUGCCUUUAUCCUCUGACAGGUGUCACAUUCUGAUACAUAUUGGGCUAUCUCCCUCUUCAUUCUGGUCCACCAAUACAAGGGCUUCAGAUCAUGGUACAUUUUGGCGCUCCCUGGAUGCAUGGAGAAUUUGGAGAGAUGGGCCUCAUCCAAGAUUUUCUUCUUGAGAUCCAUGUUUUUAGGAACCACCAAUCUGCUUUCGAACCACAAUAUACCCUUUCCAUCUUGGCGGAAACAUUUAUACUUCUCGGUCUUCUGAUGGAGGUUCUCCUUAAUAAUUUGCACUCCCUUGUCACUGAGUUGGGCCAUGAUGAUCUGGUCUUGCAAAGCUGGCUCAACAGAAAGGUGAGACAAAGCACCAGAAGGAAUCACUUCAAUCUUCAUCUUGCUCAACUCAUCACACAGGGUGUCAAUGCGAGAAUCCAUCAUAACAAAGUUGCAUUGCAAUUUCUGACUCAAGGCAUCUGCUACCACAUUGGCUUUCCCUGGGCGAUAAUGUACCUCCAGGUCAUAGUCCUUGAUCAGCUCUAGCCAUCUUCUCUGCCUCAUGUUGAGAUCAGCCUGAGUAAAGAUAUACUUAAGGCUCUUAUGAUCAGUGAAGAUGUUGUAGUGGGUUCCCAUCAAAUAGUGUCUCCACAUUUUCAAUGCAUGGACCAUGGCUGCUAACUCCAAGUCACGAGUGGGAUAAUUUUGCUCAUGAGGCCUGAGUGCUCUUGAUGCAUAAGCAAUGACUCGGUUGUCUUGCAUCAAGACACAACCUAGUCCAGUGCCAGAGGCAUCACAAUACACAUCAAAUGGCUUGCUGCUGUCGGGUUGCGCUAACACCAGUGCUGUGGUCAGAUGUUGCCUCAAUGCAUGAAAGGUAUCUUUGCACUUUUGGCCCCAAACAAACUUGGAUUCUUUCUUCAACAACUCAGUUAUGGGCUUCGCAAUUCGAGAGAAAUCCGGAAUGAAUCUUUGGUAAUAACCAGCUAAUCCCAGAAAACUCCGAAUCUGACGGACAGUCGUUGGUGGCUUCCAGUUCAUCACCUCUUGCACCUUAUCAGGAUUAACAGCUAUACCUGCCUGAGAGAUAGUGUGACCCAAAAUUUGAUCUCCUUUAGCCAAAAAUCACAUUUUGACAAUUUGACAUAAAGAUGGUGCUCUUGCAGACGUUGAAGCACUACAUGCAAAUGACCAGCAUGCUCUUCUUCGUUCUUCGAGUACACCAAGAUAUCAUCGAUGAAAACCACUACGAACUUGUCCAAUUCAGGCAUGAAAACAGAAUUCAUCAGAUACAUGAAGUAUGCUGGUGCAUUAGUCAGCCCAAAAGACAUUACCAAGAAUUCAUAUAUCCCAUAUCUGGUCGAGAAGGCAGUCUUCGGAAUAUCACUUGCUUGUAUCUUGAUCUGAUGGUAGCCGGAGCGAAGGUCUACCUUGGAAAACACUUUGGCUCCGACCAACUGAUCGAAAAGAACAUCAAUACGAGGCAAGGGAUACUUGUUCUUGAUAGUCACCGCGUUAAGUGGGCGGUAAUCUAUGCAUAGCCUCAAGCUUUCAUCUUUCUUCUUUACAAACAAGGCUGGACAUCCCCAAGGCGAAGUACUUAGGCGAAUGAAGCCUUUGUCCAGCAAUUCUUGCAAUUGCUUCUUCAAUUCUGCCAACUCAGCGGGUGGUAUCCGGUAAGGCCUCUUGGAAAUAGGUGUCAUUCCCGGUUGCAACUCGAUGGCGAAUUCAAUAUCCCGGUCUGGUGGCAUCCCUGGUAAUUCAUCUGGAAAAACGUCUGCAUACUCACAGACCACUGGAAUCUUUUUCAAGGGUAACUCCGUCAUUGCAAAAGCACAUGAAUGAGUAGAGUCUUGACUGGGCAGAAACAAGGUGAAACUCCCACAGAUUGGGGAAUUGAUUUCCACGAUGCGGCUGGCUACAUCAAGCACUACUUGGUGUUUGGUCGUCCAAUUAGCUCCUAGAAUAAUAUCCACAUUCUCCAAACCCAAAACAAGAAGGGUGGUUUUGAUAAUGUGGCUUCCCAGUUGAAUAGGCACACUUUGGUUUAAUUGAUUAGAUGCAAUUUUACCCUCAGGUGUGGCUAUCAUGAAUGACCCUUUUGUGUGAUAGAAAGGCAGUUGACAUUUAGCACUGAACUUUUGGCUAAUGAAACUAUGAGAUGCACCAGAAUCAAGUAGAAUUAAAGCAGGUUGAUUAUAAACUGAAAAGAUACCAGUCAUGAUGGGGGCUCCCUCAGGUAACUCCUCCAGAGUAGUGAAAUUGAGCUUCCCUUACCUGACUUGUACCUUCUGCUUUCUUCCCUUGUCUUGAUUUGGUGCUGGCAUCUGCCUCUGCUGAUUUCUUGGGCAAUUCUUGGCACAGUGGCCCACAUUGCCACAAGUGAAGAACUUGUUCCCAUUUCCCUGGCGGAACUAAUGCUGAGGAGGCUGAUUGUUUCUUGGAGCGGGAGCUGGAAAACGAGUGGGUGCUGGCUACUGCUGCUGAGGUGGCCUGAUCACCCAUCUGCCUGCCUGCUGCUGAAAUCCCCUGCUCUAAUUGUGAGAAACAAUCCUGAACCUCUGGGCCUGAGCGGAUGGUGCUGCCAUUGGUGCCUUUCUCUUCUUCUCUGCCCGGUGAGCUACAAUACAAUCCUCCUGGGAGAUGGCCAGGUUGACCAACUCAUUGAAACUAUCAGCCCAGACAGUGUUGAGAUGUUCCCGCAGCUUGGUGUUGAGACCCCUGCGGAAGCGGUCUCUCUUCUUCUCAUCGGAAUCAGCAUGAUAACCUGCGUACUGGCACUGGUCGUUGAAGGCCUGAGCGUACUGCAAUACCGUGUGGGUUCCUUUAUUGAGUGCCAGAAACUCAUUCAGCUUGCGAUCAAGAAUUCCAGCUGGGAUGUGGUGCCCUCUGAAAGCAGUCUUGAAUUCCUCCCAAGACACUUCACGAUCAGCAGGUAGCAUAGCACGGAAGUGGUCCCACCAAGUCCGAGCAGGGCCGCGAAGCUACUGUGCGGCGAAGCGAGCCUUAGUAUCAUCAGGGCAGUCUCCCGUGAGGAGGGGAAACUUGGACUCCAUGAUGCGUAGCCACACGUCGGCAUCCAACAGAUCCUCUGCCUUGGUGAACAAGGGCGGUUGCGUACUUAGGAAUUCCUGGUAGGUUGCCGCUGCCGGAGGUCGCUGUGGCUGGCCUCCACCAUACUGCUGAGGGUGGGGCUGGCGCUGCAAGAGCUGUCGCAGAAUCUUGUUCUGCUGGGCCAUUAGCUCCUGCACUGUGGGAGCUAGAGGAGGUGGCGGGGGAACUUGCUCGUUAUGCCCGCGAUGCUGCCUAGCUGCCAUCUGAAAACAGAGAUCGUCGCCAUUGUUAUCCCAAUUCACAAUUUCGAACAACAUGCUAUUAUGUCAUAUGGAAAGAAAAUUGCCAUAAUCAUAACAUUAAGUUUGAAUGAAGAUAACAUGGUUACAAUAUCCCACAGAUCUCAAAAGUUCUCAAGGGUUACAUCAAUUAGGGGAAAGUACCCAUAAGCCUAGUCCAAAAUCUGCCAUUAACUAAGCUCGCGUAGGUUUCUAUCCUCCUAAGACGUUAAAACGACUCGUCAACCCUGAGUAGUGGAAGCGACACUGGAUGCGGGUGAAGGGGGCAUCGCGGAGGUAGUCCCAUUGGCACCAGGGUGGUCCUAACUCCUCAGGAGCCUCUUCUCCCUCGCUUCUGGCCUCAUUGGCCUCCAUCUCUAAGUGGUACAUGUCCAGAUGGUCAUUAGCUUCUUCAAGUUCCCGCUGCACAUCAUAGAGCUGGUUCUCCAAGACAUCAAUAGUGUUGUCUCAGAUCUCCACCUGCUGCUCCAAGGUGGUAAUGCGCUGGCUCAGCCUUUCCACCUGUAGAUCCUUCUCCACCAACUCGGAGGACAAGUCGACCACAAAGUCUUCUCGGCUGUCGAGGGUUAGCUUGGUGGUUUGAGCGAUGUUAGCAAGAUGUGCCAUAGCGUCGCUCUGCAGGGCCUGAAGGCGGUACAACACACUCAUGCACUGAACAGUGACCCUCCCAACCAAGUUAGGAUACAUUGCCCACACAUCCUUCACAUGGCUCACACGGUUGCACCACAUGGGGUCAUCCUUCUUCUCAGCAGGGAAGAGUCCCAAGGGGUGCAUCACCAUUUCCAGGGGAUGGUAGCCAUAGAAAGUGAUCAGGGUCUUCAUCGUUGCCGCUUCAGUGGUGUCGUCCGUCCUAGAUCCAAUCGUCUCGGAGUCAAGAGAACGCCAACCCGGUUGAAGGGGAUGAGCCUCCAAAGUCAACCAGACUCGGCAACGUGUUACCCGAUGCUCCUCGUACAACUGCACCGUGUACAAAGGAGGCGUAGGGUAACAGGCGGAGUUAAGCACUUCCCACAAGAUGGAAGGAAAGCCAUCGUGAGAAAGGAAGUCAGAGCUGAAAUGAGUGUCUCCUCCACUGGCGGGGGUAGGUGAGGUCAUCUGCGGAAGGGUAUCAGAUGUAAAGAUUAUGGUGGAAGAGGGAAAAAAUUAAAAGACCUUGGGUGGUUUAAAAGGAAGCGGGUUAGCUCAAAUUUUUACUUCUUUAGUGUCUAAUCCCUUUUAGUUUUUAUAAUGCAUGCAUGCUGAGAAUAACGUCUCCUCUCUGAAUAAAAGGGUGCUCUUAUGGCAUCCUUUAAAAAUCUAAAUACUGGCCCACAGGGCCUACUUAAUUAGCCACCUAUUUCUCCCUCUAUUCUUAAGGCCUUUCGUUCUAGGUCUAGCGGUCUAGUCCUGACGAUUCACACUAGUUUCUAAGCAAGUUUAAGAUUUUGAAAAUUGGUAUUCAUGGUUUAUUGUCCUUCUCUGUGGGGGUAUUUGCUCCGAUACCAGCUGUGGCAGAACCGCCCGAAUUAUUCCAACUUAAGUGUCUAAGUCACGCCUCAGGGGCAGCAACACACUUAAAUCAGAAUAACCCGUCAGUCCCUCAGAUCUAGUCUGAUAAAGCCACUUAACCAGGAUCAAAUACCACAAACUCACUCGAAGGUGAGUCACAGAAGAAAUACAAUAAAACAGGAAAAAACCUCAAAUUAAAGUACUGGAGUUAUUACAUAAAUCAGAGUUUUUCAAGUAGCUGAUAUAAGUUCACAAAAUAAAAUGCAGCGGAUAAUCGAUAUCGUCGAUAGCGAGGAAUUGGGCAAGGCCUAGCCCACUACUCCUCCUGCUCCUCUCCUGCCGGAGCAGCAUCCCACUCGACCGUCCAACCCGGUGGCAGGGUGGUAGGCCAAGUCACACCAUCAACCAUAUCCUGGAGCGUACCUGCAAAAAUUAUGCCACAAGCAAGGCUGAGUAUACUAAUACUCAGCUAAACUUACCCGGUGCGAGGAGUCUACUCCUCUACCUCCAAACCAUGCAGCUGUUUGGCUGAGGGGUUUGGUUUGCCAAAAGCACUAGCUGUAUCUAAAAUCAAAUUUUAGCCUUUCAAUUUUCUAGCAUCAUUAUCUUAACUAAGUUUGCUCCUUCUAAGCAUACAUGGUAGCAAGCAUUUAGUACAAUCAAAAAGUUAUCUCAAGUAAACCUCAUUUCACUUCUUACUCAAUGUAGUACAAGGGGUCAAGCAGUCUCAUUAGCUGCGAGAAGCAGACGAUUCGAAUCGAGUUUUAUCCUUGCAAGGUAAACCUAAACACACGACAUGUCAGGGCACUCCGUCCCCACACACAUCAACCGUCCCCAUCGAUUCCCCGUUCGCGGCCAGGCCUCACCGCCUUGGCAUACAAUGCUCCACUGACCCCGGCUGCCGCCGUAUAGUGACCACACUUGUACCCACCAUAGCUAGCAUGGGAGACCCAGUCUCAGGUCGCGUGAGGGGUAAAGUCCGCGCCCGGCUUCGCUCAGGUACUAGGUUUACCGGUUAACAUAUUUCCCGACAUGUGUUUAGUACGUUCAAAAGCUUGACUCAGGUAUCCACACAUUAAUCCUUAAUUCCUUUUCCCGUCUUAUGGACAAGGCAUCCUCCCUGGAUCCAAGUCCAUAGACCAACAUAGAUCCCGUUAUCAAGAUGAAUACAAUCAAUUCCUGACCUUGCGCGAGUGCUAGAAAAAUCACUCGACCUCUAUCGAGAUCCUGAUUAGCAAAGCAGCUACUCGACCUAGCAUACUAGUAUCCAUCUCAAAAAAGAAUCCUAAGUUCAUGCAACUAGAGGUUUCAACCAACUCCUGCACUUAAGUGCACAAUACAAUCCUACAAUCAUUAAGUGUAGUAAAGUAGCAUAUAUAGAUACGGUUAUGCAUAAAACCGGGACUUGCCUUCAAUAGCUGGGCUACGGGGAGAUCCUCGAUGGCAGUCUCGGGAGCUUGCUCCUGGUCUUCCUCGUGGACAGCUCCUUGCUCAGGGAUGAGCACGUACUCUCCGUCAGCGAGAUUGCAAUCUAAUGAAUGCAAUGAGUAAGAUAUAUGCAUGGUAUGACAUAUAAUUACAAUUAAGAUUUGAUGGGGGAAAAUGAUCAAUUUAAUAAGGUAGGGCUUAUUCUCUCUACUGAAGAUUUUUGGGGUACACUUAGCAAAUUAGGGUCAAGCUUAGUAAGCUAAUUGGUAAGUCCAUUUUGGUGUUCCAUUGAUUUCUUUUUGAUGUCUUAGUGAGAGUUUAUUAAGAUUUCUAGCUGAACUUAUUGGAGUGAGGUUUAUUUUUCCCUCUCUUCCUUACUAAUUCUUUUAUGCUUUUAAGGUGGGUUUGAACUACAAGACAGCUUAAUAAAUUUCCAACAAUUCUGUAAACAUUACAGUGGCUUCUUACUGGUGUAUAGUUCUCUGUCUCAAAAUUUGGGGCUUAAACAGUGAGGGGUUCUCUCAGUAUAAAAUUAUCAAAUGUUAGGGUAGAGGGGGAGUUUUGAACUACAACUCCUUUUUAGCAGUGGGUUAUUCUCUAAGACAUAUUUUUGCUGGCAUUUAGAUGUUAUAACAUGACUUUGUACAAAUUUCUAGCCACUAAUAGUUAUUAGUUAUUUUGCUAUGAUUUUCUAAAGUUUCUAGCCAAAGGGGUGCUUUCUACUACCACUAUACUUGAAAAAUACCAAACAACCGAUUUCUAAUUUUUCUUAUCUUCUUCUUUGUGUAAGAGCAAUCAUUCUGAAAUUUGGCAACUUUUUGCUUGAGGGAAGGGUGGUAGGAAUUAUUUGAAUUAAAUGGCAUUUUUCAUGAAGUAUUGUCAAUGGGUAUUAUUUUGUAGCUUUCAAUUGGGUUUUGAAUUUUUCUCUGGUGGCCUACUUCAUUAUUAAUUUGGUAAAAAAUAUUUUCCCAUUAUUGCACUCUUUUUAAUUUGCUCAUGAUUUAAUUGAAAUAUGGCUCAAUAUCAAGUUCUAUUUGUUUACCCUACUUAAACUGAUGGGAUGGGGUGUUUAUCAUAUAUGUAGUGAUAUCUUAGUGGUUACAAGUCCACUAAAUUUUUCUUAUCAAUUUUGAAAUUGUUUUCAUAAUUCUAAUAAUUCUUUUUCUAGUUUGGUUAGUGCUUAAUAAAACAUUUCACUUUGAAUUUGUUCUGGACUAGGGUUCCCUUUAUUUUUCCUAGGUUCUCUAUUACUUAAGUGGACUAGGAAAAAUAAUUGCAUUCACUGUUCAUUAUUUUCCAAUGCCUUUCUUAUUUUCCUAAGUUUUGGGCAAAUAUGGCUUUUAAUAAGUAACCUUGUCUAAAUCUUUAAUACUAGGGUGCUUACUAUUUUUAAACAGUUCCUAAGUGGGUUUUACACUUCUGCAAAUUUUCUUAGGUUCAGCACAGAAGCAUAACUAACUUUUCUUAUUUUAAUAAGGUUUGGUCCUUUUCCUUAAUUAAUUUGCAACUCUAAAAUUUAAGACAGAAAGCAUAGGGUUCAGUAUUUUUAUAUGAUAGUCCAUAAUAUUUUGAAUCCAACAAAAUUGGUUUGACUAAAUUUGGUUGAAUAUAACUCGAGAUAUGAAUUUUCUAAGUUCUCUGCUGAAAUUAAAAAGAUUAUUUAGGAAUGGUUAAAAGAAAAACGGUUUUGCACUGGGGUCCCUAGCGAAAGGUUUUAAACGUAUUACAGACAGGUCUUCGGUUCACUAUUCAUCUGAGUCUAUGAAUCUGCAGAAAACCCCCUAGGGUUUCCCGAAAUCGAACCCGCGAUCCUUCUCCUAAUGGAACAGUGACCGCGACGGAAGAAAAGGGCGGAGGGGCUUACCGGCGGCGGGGUUGCUCUGGUGAGGGGUCGGGUGAGGUCCAGGAGUCUCUGGCGAUCACGUCGAGGUGCGGAUCGCCAGCGAUGGUGGUCGGAGGAGGUCGGUCCACGCGCGCAGGCGGGGGAGCUCGUCGGCGGCGAGGAGUCUGGCCUAACCAGGGCGCAAUAGAUCAAUUAAUUGGGUCAGGGAGCUUCACCAGAGAUCAAGGAAGAUGUGAGCGCGAGGAAUUUGAGAAUGGCUCACCGGAUUGCUCGGUCUACGCGUGACCGCGGGCGACCGAAGUCUGACGAAGAUGAUCUCGGGUCUCCGGUGAGGUUCUGUCGGGUCCGAGAGCUUGGAAAUCAAAAGGGAUAGGCCUUUGUUUGGAAAUCAAAAUAGGAGCAAGCUUUUCAAGCUCUCUGAAAGCAUCUAGGCCCCUCGUUGGUUUUAGUGAAUAAUGACAAUGUAAUAUUAUAUGUGACUUGUUGGGUCUAUGCUUCGUCGCCGAAGGUCUUAUAGAAAGAACUGAUCCUCGGAUGAAGCUGUUCGUAUAAGAUAGCCGAAGGUGCCUCUUCGUAGAGCUUCGGCAUUACAAACCGACUUAAAGAUAGAAUGACCUUUUAAUCCAUAAAGGUCUGAGUCAAUGUUGUAAGUUUUUAUAAGGGGCAUACUUGUAAUUCCUCACAGGCUGCGUCCUGUGCCUAUAAAUAGUGAACAGUAUUCCGUUACUGUUCACGCAUUCUGGCAUUUGCAAUCGCAUCUUUCGGAAUACAACCUUUGUCAAGGCAUAGGUAUCAUUGUAUUUAAGGAUUCAACAUAUUAAUUGAGUAUAAUAUAAUACAUCUGUGAUUCAUUCAUCCAUUUUGUACCUUUUAUUUUACAUUAUUCUACAUUAUUUUACAAUGUUUAUUGAAAGUUUAUUACGAAGGUUCAACUUCGUAAUAAUACUCUCAUCAACCUUCGUCCAAGACCCAUUAUCCUUAAAGGAACAAUGCUUCACGGACGAAGGACAAUAUCAUUUAACAUUUUAUGUUGCCUUGUUCUUAAUUCAUAGCAUUUGAGAACAAGUCCCCAACAUUGGCGCCCACCUCCGGUGAACUCACUUCCACUUUUUGAGCUGAUGGCUUCGUUCAACGACCAAGCUGGAGCUGCUUCGGACCCGAAGCUGGUGCUCCCGAUCACAGGUGGCUCGUCCUCAGAGCCAGCUAGCAAGAAACAAAAGAAGGAAGCACAGAGAAGGGUACAGCAUGUUGGGGUGCAAGGACCCUUCAUCAAGUCAAGAUGGUCUCACAUUCCUAUUACCUUCUCCCAAGAGGACCUUCAGCUCAAAGAUUACCCACACAACGAUGCCAUGGUUAUCUCUUGUGUUAUCAAAGGAUUUCUGGUCCACAAUGUCUUGGUUGAUACAGGCAGUGCAGCUGACAUCAUUUUUGCUAAGGCCUUCAGACAAAUGCAAGAGCCAGAAGAUAAGAUUCAUGAUGCUACACAUCCUCUCUGUGGCUUCGGAGGAAGACAGAUCGUAGCACUGGGCAAGAUCACCAUGUCAGUGACCUUCGGCUUCAUCAACAACACUAGAACUGAGCAAGUUGUGUUUGACAUUGUUGACAUGGAAUACCCUUACAAUGCAAUUAUUGGUCGUGGUACUCUCAAUGCCUUCGAAGCAAUCCUUCAUCCUGCCUAUCUUUGCAUGAAGAUACCUUCGGAUCAGGGAACCAUCGCUAUCCAUGGAAGUCAGGAAGCUGCAAGAAGAGCCGAAGGCAAUUGGACUGACUCAAAAGCAAUCCAUAACAUAGAUGGAGCUGAAGCUUGUGAACAGUACAAAUUCAGAAGGGAGAAAGCAGCUUCAGCAGAUCAGCCGAAGCCUAUGCUCUUAUGUGAGGACAUAGCAGAGCGAAAGGUGCUGUUAGGCUCUCAACUAUCCGAAGAGCAGGAAAAAACCUUGAUAAGGUUUUUGUUCAAUAACAAAGAUGUUUUUGCAUGGUCAGCCAAUGAUCUAUGCGGAGUUAAUAGGGAUGUUAUUGAGCACUCGCUCAAUGUCGAUCCAUCCUUCAGACCCAGAAAGCAAAGGCUUCGGAAAAUGUCAGAUGAUAAGGCCGAAGGUGCUCGCAACGAAGUCAAAAGACUCCUCAGUGCAGGAGUUAUUAGAGAAGUGAAGUACCCAGAAUGGCUGGCUAACACUGUUAUGGUAAAAAAGGCCAAUGGCAAGUGGCGAAUGUGCAUCGAUUUUACAGAUCUUAACAAGGCUUGUCCGAAGGAUGAAUUCCCACUACCAAGGAUAGACUCUUUAGUUGAUGCAGAAGCUUCGUCAGAGCUCAUGAGUCUGUUAGACUGCUAUUCAGGCUAUCAUCAAAUUUGGAUGAAGAAGGAAGAUGAGCCGAAGACUAGCUUCAUCACUCCAAGUGGCACAUAUUGCUAUCUUCGGAUGCCUGAGGGGCUCAAAAACGCUGGAGGAAGUUUCAGCCGAAUGACUGCGAAGGUCCUUCAAUCUCAAAUAGGCAGAAAUGUGCUAACUUAUGUUGAUGACAUCAUUGUCAAAAGUACGAAGCAGGAGAAUCAUAUUGCUGAUCUGCAAGAGACCUUCGCCAGUUUCAGGCAAGCUGGCUUAAAGUUAAAUCUAGAAAAAUGUGUCUUCGGAGUGAAGAAGGGGAAAUUUCUUGGAUGCCUGGUUUCAACAAAGGGAAUCGAAGCCAAUCCAAGUAAAAUUGAAGCUAUACUUCGGAUGGAGCCACCAACUACAAAGAAGGGGGCUCAAAGAUUGACAGGAAGAUUGGCAUCUCUCAAUAGAUUCAUAUCCAGAUCAGCAGAUAGAAAUUUACCAUUCUUCGAAGUACUGAAGUCGGCCGAAGUCUUUCAAUGGGGACCAAUCCAGCAGAAGGCUUUCGAAGAACUGAAACAGUAUUUGAUAGAUCUAACAACAUUGACUCCACCAAUGCCAGGGGCUCCUUUAUUAUUAUAUGUGGCAGCUUCGCACUCAGCGGUAAGUGCAGCGCUUGUCCAGGAGAAGCUUGAUGGUCAAGUCAAAAGGCAGGCCCCAAUAUAUUUUGUUUCCGAGGUCCUUAGUUUAUCAAAGAAAAACUAUAUAGAGUUGGAGAAGAUACUGUAUGCUGUCUUGAUGGCCUCCAGGAAGCUUCGGCACUAUUUCCAAGCUUACAACAUAAUUGUUCCUUCUUCACAACCUCUGAAGGAUAUUAUGAGGAACCGAGAAGCUACUGGAAGGAUUGGAAAAUGGGCUGCAGAGCUCAAUGAAUUCUGUAUUGAAUAUGUCCACAGAUCUUCGAUUCAGUCCCAGGCAUUGGCAGACUUCAUUGCUGACUGGACGCCAGGGGCUCAGGAGGAGGAAACGAAUAAAGACAACGAAGCCUGGACAGUGUUUUGUGAUGGAUCCUGGGGAACCUUCGGAGCAGGAGCGGCUGCUGUGUUGGUUUCACCUUCUAAAAUCAAAACUUGUUAUGCGGCAAAGCUUGAUUUUAAUUGCACAAAUAACAUUGCUGAGUACGAAGCAUUGAUUCUAGGUCUUCGGAAGUUAAAAGCAAUGGGAAUCAGAAGGGCCAUACUUAAAACUGAUUCCCAGGUUGUUUCGGGUCAUAUUGACAAGAGUUGCAAGGCUAAGGAUCCGAAGCUUGAAAAAUAUCUGGAUAUGGUUCGAAGAGUCGAAGCUUCCUUCGAAGGGUUUUCUGUCAAGAAUAUCCCUCGAGGACAAAAUGAGCAUGCUGAUCUGCUAGCUAAGUCAGCAGCACAGGGGCUGCCUUUACCUUCGGAUGUAUUUUUCGAAACAAUAAAAGCACCUUCGGUGGAACUUCUUGAAAGAGCAGUUCUUAAUAUAUCUCCUGUUUUUAGCGAAGAUUGGAGAACCGAGAUCAUCUCUUACCUUCAGGGUAAAUUUCUUUCAGAUGACGAAGCUUAUAACAAGAGGAUAGAAGCAAGAGCUCGUCCAUAUGUCAUGAUAGAAGGGGAAUUGUAUAAACAUGGAGUUUGUGCUCCGCUGCUCAAAUGCUUAUCCAGAACCGAAGGUAUAGAGUUAAUGAAAGAAAUACAUGCAGGCCUGUGUGGAUCUCACAUCGGAUCUAGGCCGUUACUCGGAAAAAUUUUCCGUCAAGGGUUUUAUUGGCCGAAGGCAGCUUCGGAUGCAGCAGAAUUGGUUCAAAAGUGCGAAGGUUGUCAGAAAUGUGCAAGAGAUCAAAAACAACCUUCGUCCUUAACACAGCUCAUACAACCCACUUGGCCAUUGCAAAGGUGGGGCCUUGACUUGUUAGGUCCGUUACCACCGGCCCAAGGGAACCUGAGAUAUGUUGUGGUAGCUGUGGAAUAUUUUUCUAAAUGGAUUGAGGCGAAGCCUUUAGCCACAAUAACUUCGGCUACCGUCCAAAAGUUUUUCUGGCAGAAUAUUGUUUGUCGUUUCGGGGUGCCAAAGGCUAUCACUGUGGACAAUGGAACACAGUUUGACUCCGAAGCUUUCAGGGAUUUCUGUGACCAAAUUGGUACGAAGAUACAUUUUGCAUCAGUCAGGCACCCGGAGUCAAAUGGACUCGUUGAAAGAGCCAACGACAUUAUAAUGACAGGAAUAAUGAAGUUAAUCUUCAAUCAACCUAGAGGAAAAUGGCCAGAUCAGCUAACCAAAGUGGUGUGGAGCCACAACACGACAACAUCAAGAUCUACAGGCUUCACUCCAUUCAAGUUGUUAUUCGGUGACGAAGCAAUAACUCCAGAAGAAGCUAAAGCCGGAUCAAUAAGGAUAGUAGCUUCGGCAGAAUCAGAUUCCGAAGCUGCUUAUUCUAUAGAAAAAGAUGCUUUAGAAGGGAUCAGACUGCAAGCCGUGGAGAAUAUUAAUAAAUAUCAAGCUGAAACAGUCAAAUGGCGGGAUAGAAAGGUUCGGCUAAAAAAUAUUGAGCCAGGGCACUUGGUGCUUCGGAGGGUAGCCAACCCGGAAACAGUGGGCAAAUUGCAGUUGAAAUGGGACGGGCCUUUCUUAGUAGCAUCUUCGUCAAGGCCCGGUUCAUACAGAUUGAAAGAUAUGGACGGCAAUGACAUUCCUAGAUCUUGGAAUGCGGAUGAGCUUCGGCGAUAUUAUGUAUAAUUCGAUGUAAUUUUUCAUAUUUUUUAUUUUUUCCUUUCAUGGCACCCUUUUCCUUUCCAAAGGGGGAGAAAGGUUUUUAAUGGGGCCAGCAUAUGUAAUUUCCUUUUUUAGUCUUAUAAGAGCAAAAUCCCCCAAAGAAUGUAAAUGUAAAAGCUGAGAGUGCACCAUCGAGUGCCCAAAAAGUAAAAACGAAGAAGCUCCAAAGACGUUCCUAAGGGAAUGCAGAGCUUACAGCGAAAAGUCAACGCUGAUUCCGCCAAAAGUAAAGGCGAAGAAGCUCCAAAGACGUUCCUAAGGGAAUGCAGAGCUUACAGCGAAAAGUCAACGCUGAUUCCGCCAAAAGUAAAGGCGAAGAAGCUCCAAAGUCGUUCCUAAGGGAAUGCAGAGCUGAGGUGUGAUUGUUUUUAAGAAAAUAACGGCUAUGAAUAUGGCUUCGGAUACGUGUUUGGCCAUUCAUUUGCACAUCACAUUACAUCAUAGCAUUUGCAUUCAUAAACAUUCAUCUAGGCAUAUGUAGGAAAAUCAUCUUCAUCGCAUAAAAUGGUUGCUUCGGCAAGAAGAGAAAAAAAAGAAAGGGAAAAAAGAGCUUCGUGCACAAAGAAGAAGGGAAAAUGUUGUUUUCCAUGAAGGAGAGCAUCGGAAAAAAGGAAAAUGUUGUUUUCUAUGCUUCGUUGCGUACGAAAAGAAGGGAAGGUGUUUUUUCGCCUUCGGCUCAAAAAAGAAGAUUUCGUCCACAUCAAAGCAUUUCUCAUACAUCAGUGAAAGGUUAAGGAUAUAUUACAAGGUAUGAACAGCAUACAUUAAAAACAAGUUUUGUUUACAUUCACAAAAGUUAUCUCAAAAGUUUUUCAAGUGUUGUCUGCAGUCUACUAUCUAAAUCUCCAAGGAGCUUCGGCUUCGGCAUUAUUUUUGGUCAUCAGCUUCGGCUUCAUCAUCCUACACGAAUAAGGUCGUUGGAAGUCAAAAUCAAGUUUACAGAAAAAGGUAAACACAAGGUAUGAUUUCUUACUGGAUCAAGGUGGCUACGAGCUUCGUCUCCAGCUUUCUCUCGACCACCUUUUGUCCAUAUCAUUUUCACAAAUCGAUUCGAGAUGCUUCGGGCGAGAUCAGGGAUGUCAUCCAGGAUUGAUGGCGACAAAGUGAAAUUUGGCCUGUUGACAAUUUUCCCAUGAUCACAGCCAGCCUUCAGAAAGGCUGCAGCAGUCCCUCGAGAAGCCACCCAGGCACAGAAGUCGCCAUGCCCAGCUAUGACUUCGUCGAGCUCUUCAAUCUCCCCCUCAAUGUGUUCGAAGGUUUUUGGUAGAUCUUCAGCCGAGGGGGUAAAUUUUUCGCUGCUAGCUCCAACUGAGUGAAAAAUCUUUCUUAGUCGUUGUAUGCACUUGUUGCUAAAUUCCAGGCAUUUUUCUUGAAGAUUUGUCAGUAGUUUUCUCAAAUCCGAAUUUUGCUGAGCUUCGGCUUCAAGUUUUGCAUUGAGAUCUUGUUUUUCUUGUUCGAACUGCUCAGACUGGCGGAGAAGCUUCGUGUUCAGUUCUGAUAUUUUUGCUUCAGCUUCCGCCAGUAAACCUUCGGCUGCCUGGAGCUCAAAGUUCUUUUUCUCAAAAGCAUCUGAUUGCUCCUUUAUUUUGUUUUCUAAAUUUCCAAUUAUAACUUCAUGCUUUUUAUCUUCAAGAUCUUGCUGCAUUUGCAAGGCUUUGCUCAAUAGCAUACUCUACAUAAACACAACCUUCGUCAGACAUGUUUUAAUUAGAAGCAAUAAAAGUUAAGGGACAAGUCAUUCACCUUGAAGUUGGAGUAAAAUAAACUACCAACGACAUAUUGUCGUCGGUAGCGGCUAAUGUCUGUUUCUAGCUUCGGGAAUCCAAUACUCCUGGACAGAGUACUGAUGACUUUGGCCCCUGUUUGGUCCCGAAUACACUCUAAUUUCUCAUCAUCAACGCCUCCGAAGAGGAGUGCCCCAGGUUUGUAUCCACAGGAUUGGGCAUACUCUUUAAGCUCUUCUAUUUCAGCUUUUGUUAGAUGUUCUCCAACUAAGUUUUUGAACGCGAAGGCUUCGUUUUCUGAAGCUUCGUCAGCAAUUUCUUUUCCUUUCUUUGACGCUGCGGUCACAGCUUUUUCGGCAGCAGUGGCAGCUUCUUCUGCAGCCAUGUCUAGCAGCAUUUGGUCAAUAUGUUCAAUUGUGCUCUCUAAAUUCAAAUCUUCAGCUGAGGUAACUUCGGCGGCUGCGGCCUCCGAAGGUGCAAUUUCAAUAUCUGCCCCCUCUGCUGCUGCUUGUGUUUUUUGGGCCGAAGCUCUUGGCGGCGUUUUGUCAAUUACCUCUGUCACGGUAAUGAUUCUUUGUUUCUUUGCCUUGAUUGUUUUCCUCGAUUUCUCAGGCUCCUUGUCCUUCUGAAAAAACUUUGUCAGUUGAGGACCCAGUGGACUUAGCUUCGCAGGUAAGGUUUCAGUCAUUACCUUCAGAAUUUCCUCAACAACAUCAGCAGAAGGUGAUGCGGGGGUUUUUUCUGCUUCGGAUAUUUGUUGCUUCGGAGAAGAGGUUUUCUUUUUCUUUGGAAUUUUCUUCUUUAUUGGCUCUUUUUCACCCUCAUCUAAGGCUUCAGUUCCCCUUUUCCUUUUUUGGCCCCCGGCACCUUUGUUCAGAUCUUCGUAGUCUGGGUAUUCGAAACCCAAGGCGUCCAGCACUCGAUUUAGCCUUCGUUUCGGUCGGGUGCCGAAGGCUGCGGUCAUCAAUUGAUCCUCCUUUUUUGAAUAAUUGCCAAGUAUCUCGUUGCACAUCACUUCAAUUGUAUCCAGCCACUCUUGGCAAGGAGUUUUAAAGUAUUUUUUAAAUUUGAAGUAGUAAGGCAAACGUACAAGUUCACCUUUUUUCUUCUCCCCCUUCAGCUUCGGCAUUUCCCACUCUUUUACACUAGGAAAAACCUUGAAAGCCAAGAAUUCCUGGACCAAGUCCCUUGUACUGAUAUUCUCUGCAAUUAUUUUGAAUUCAUACAUUGCUUUUUGAGUUGGACCCUCUGGUAACAUGUGGCACUGGGGGCGAGUUUCUCCGAAGGUCAGUUCCAGUGGACUUUGCACAAGCUUUUCUUUAUCAUCAUCAACCUUAACAUAGAACCAUUCUGAUUUCCACCCGGCUGCCCAUUUGCUUCGGUAGCUGAUCACAGGAUACUUCGUAGUUUUCCGGUAAGCAAAAUUAUAGCAACCAAAAUUCUCAUGUAAUCCAUCCUUUCUAGCCUUUGUCUGAUAGUGCAGUUCGUGAACUCGGCAGAAGCUGUCCGCAAACGGUUCCACCGCUUGGCUUCGGAGUGCCCAGAUGUAAACACUGAGCCUAACGAUAGCAUUAGGGGUUAGCUGGUGAAAAUAAAUUCCGAAGUUCUUCAGUAUCUCUGCAAUAAUCCCAUGAAGGGGGAAUCUUAGUCCAGCCUUUAGGAAGCUUUUAAAAAUAACAAUUUCAUCUUUCUCCGGCUUUGGGAUAGUCUCUUCUCCCCCGAAGCGUAGUAGCUUCUUUUGAUUUUCAGUAAAAUAGCCUGACUUUACCAUCUUGGACAAAUCAGCCUUCGAAACGGUAGAUUUCCCGAAGUCCAAGUGGCUGGGUUUGCUUGGCGUAGCAAGGUGAUAAUCAUCUUCGGGGUCAGUUUCCUCAGCAUCUUCUCCUUCUGCUUCAGCGAUUGUUUGUUCUGCAUCAUCAAUAGGAGCCUUUUCCGAAGUCACUAGCCCGGAUCGUUGCAUGGCUUCGGAGAUAGGGACAGUCUCCGAAGCUUCCGUUUCGUCUCCCUCGCGUUCAACCCUGGCGGUGGAACGGACUCUGGCCAUUUGACUAUGAACUUGUGAAACUUUAAUACUUUUUUCUCCGAAGCAGGCUUCAAGAUGGAGCUUCGUUCAAAUCUGACAAACAAGCUUCGGCGAUGGUUAAAAAUUUUGGCAGCAAAACAGUGCAAAUAGCAGUAAAUGCUGUGGUAACUUCACACCUACUCGUCUGUUUAUAUAGUGCCACAGGUAAGAAGGCGAAGCGCCAGGAGUUUUACACCAGGCGGACACCCGCUCGCACUCGCUGUACGAUGGACCGCAGUGACCGAACAGUAACUCUGCAAGGUGGGGCCGCUGCGCGCAGGGAAAUCGAAUCGUUUCUCGACAACGAGCUCAGGGAAGGUGUUUUUUGAGACCUUCGGCGCUAUGAAGCUUAAGAAACUUUUUUCACGGAUCAAGCUCGUUACGAAAAACGAUCUAGCACCGCGAAAGGGGCUACUGUUGGGUCUAUGCUUCAUCGCCGAAGGUCUUAUAGAAAGAACUGAUCCUCGGAUGAAGCUGUUCGUAUAAGAUAGCCGAAGGUGCCUCUUCGUAGAGCUUCGGCAUUACAAACCGACUUAAAGAUAGAAUGACCUUUUAAUCCAUAAAGGUUUGAGUCAAUGUUGUAAGUUUUUAUAAGGGGCAUACUUGUAAUUCCUCACAGGCUGCGUCCUGUGCCUAUAAAUAGUGAACAGUAUUCUGUUACUGUUCACGCAUUCUGGCAUUUGCAAUCGCAUCUUUCGGAAUACACCCUUUGUCAAGGCAUAGGUAUCAUUGUAUUUAAGGAUUCAACAUAUUAAUUGAGUAUAAUAUAAUACAUCUGUGAUUCAUUCAUCCAUUUUGUACCUUUUAUUUUACAUUAUUCUACAUUAUUUUACAAUGUUUAUUGAAAGUUUAUUACGAAGGUUCAACUUCGUAAUAAUACUCUCAUCAACCUUCGUCCAAGACCCAUUAUCCUUAAAGGAACAAUGCUUCACGGACGAAGGACAAUAUCAUUUAACAUUUUAUGUUGCCUUGUUCUUAAUUCAUAGCAUUUGAGAACAAGUCCCCAACAUGACUAACGUGUGUUUUGCAGAAACAAAUGGUAAGUUAGGUUGCAUUACAGAAAGAUGUAUUACAAUGGUGAAAACAAGCCCGGAGAUAAGAACUUGAAGUGACGGCUAAAGCGACGAAACAAAAGGUGAAGGUCUUCGUAUUCCGAGUGUCAAGGAGUUGCAGACACUUGUUAUAUAGUUAGGUCUUUUAUUUUGUUUUAGCCGUACUAUAAAGAGGGGUUGUCGAUGAGUAGUUUGACCAAGAGAGUUCUAGUGUAGUGUUGGUGCAUAUUCACACUCACAUAUAGUGCUAGGUGUCACUCUAGAACAUACUCACGAGUUAGAACGAAAACCGAUUUGAAAAUCAGCAGAAAAUAGAAAUUAGGGUUUCUGUCUUUGGGGCACCGGAAUGUCCGGUGCGCCCUCUACCAGUGGGGCCAGCCUGGCCCAGGGGAAGCCCUAUUUCCCUCUAGAAACUCGAGAGCGCGGAGUUCAGAGUUGAAUUAUAGCCGGCACACC